rnacentral:rRNA from 1 species
AUACGUAGGUGGCGAGCGUUGUCCGGAAUUACUGGGCGUAAAGGAUGCGUAGGUGGAUACUUAAGUGGGAUGUGAAAUCCCCGGGCUCAACCCGGGAACUGCAUUCCAAACUGGGUAUCUAGAGUGCAGGAGAGGAAAGCGGAAUUCCUAGUGUAGCGGUGAAAUGCGUAGAUAUUAGGAGGAACACCAGUGGCGAAGGCGGUUUUCUGGUCUGUAACUGACACUGAGGCAUGAAAGCGUGGGUAGCAAACAGGAUUAGAUCCCCUGGUAUUCCACGCCGUAAACGAUGGGUACUAGGUGUAGGAGGUAUCGACCCCUUCUGUGCCGUCGUUAACACAAUAAGUUCCCCGCCUGGGGAGUACGGUCGCAAGACUAAAACUCAAAGGAAUUGACGGGG